ACUUAACGACAAGACACCAGACCCACAGUGAUAACACAAACAUAGAACAAGGAGGAGUUAGGACACACUCGCCUCCAUCUUGUGGAUCCACGUUAUAGACGUAGAGAAAUCCGUCCGAGGACGCCACCAGCAGGCGAGGGAGCUUCUGAAUCCUGAAUCAGAGGGCGCAGAUGUUCUUCAGGCCGAACAUGUUGAGGCGAACGGUCGCGAAGGCUCUGUCCUGAUGCAUCAUGUCUGACACCUGGGCGGGCAAGUAGGUGCUGGCUGCAGUGAACAUUUUGCCCACAUAUGCUGACCAUGUGGGAGACUCCUCCUCUUGACUGUAAAGAAAUGAUUAGGAUUAAAAGACUAAAAAAGUCCAGUAUGUAUGAAUUAGUGACAUCUUAUGGAGCUAGUAAGCCACCUCAAAUGUCACACAAUGGAAUUUCACAUGGUGAAAUGCUGAAAGUGUUGCAUUGUUUUACAUCAGAAAUACAGCAGAUGUCGCUAGUCGUUCAAUGAAUUGUCCCAAGUGAAGGUUCAGAAAAUGAAAUUUGAAAUACGGAGUAAUUAUGUAUUGCUUUAAGAAAAAUCACGUAUAUAAGUAAGUGGGUUCAAAAGUAAAUAAAUUUUUACUUGAAUGACAGUAUCUUCAAAACCACCACCAGCAUUAUCUACAAACUUCCUUCAUGAUGUAGAAACAAAUACGAGUGUUUUACCUGGGGCUGUGCUGCUCCAGUUUAAAGAUAUGGACCGUCUCUGUGUUGCUGGACGCGCAGAGGAACUGGGCAUCAGCACUGAAGGACAAUGAACUGAUGCUAACAUACCUGACGAACAGAAGGAACAAAAACACAAACGGUUCAGAAAACUCUGUAAAUAGAAAUGUAUACAAUUGGCCUAUACUGUACGUGAACUGUAUUGUCUUUUGUCCAUGUUUUACAUGAGAAUAAGCAGUAAAUUAAAUGUGAAAACGUGA